rnacentral:rRNA from 1 species
CACGCUGUAAACGAUGAUCACUAGGUGUAGCGGGUACUCAUUCCUGCUGUGCCGCAGCUAACGCGUUAAGUGAUCCGCCUGGGGAUUACGGUCGCAAGACUAAAACUCAAAGGAAUUGACGGGGGCCCGCACAAGCGGUGGAGUAUGUGGUUUAAUUCGACGCAACGCGAAGAACCUUACCUGGGCUUGACAUCCCCGGGCAGGCGUGGAAACACGUUUUUCACCUUCGGGUGACCGGGAGACAGGUGC